UUAGUCUGGCCCAGCGCCAGACUACAUUUGACCAUGUUACCCCGACCCGAGCUUCAUGACCUGGCAGUGGAGAAUUCUCAGAUUCUUUUGCUGUAGAUUUUGUGUUGCGCCCAUUGCAUUGAUGGUGUGGCUAGUGCUCUCUAAUACUCAAAGAUGGUGUCAGCUCUGAAUCUGAGAGUGGUCCUGCUACAUCAGGUUCACACAACUUGUUAGAUGGAAUGGCUAAUUCUGUCAGAAAACAUGGUGUUCAUGCACUCUUUUCUCUCAUUGGGUAAUUGCAGAAUAAGGAACAAGUAUAACAAGAAAAGGAAGCUGGAUGUAAAGUAUCAAGUAAAGAUGAACAGGUUGUGCAAAUCGCCAAGGCAAGCCAAAUGUGAAGUUUUAUACCUUUCCAAAGAAUCCUGAACGUAAAAAUAGAUGGAUAGCUGCUGUCAGGAGAAAGAAUUGGGCUCCUAGUCGAUUUUCAAGGAUUUGUAGUGAACAUUUUAGAAAUGGUAAGUCCUUCUAAGAUCUCAGGUUUAGAAAUGAAGUUACUUUUAUUAAAGGGUAAGU